ensembl:miRNA
GUGAGCUUCCCUUUGUCAUCCUAUGCCUGAGCGAUGCCUGGAGGCUGGGACGGUGAAGGGAGGCCCACGGG